AGCAGUAGCCGCGGUAAUACGUAGGUGGCAAGCGUUGUCCGGAUUUAUUGGGUUUAAAGGGUGCGUAGGCGGCCUAUUAAGUCAGGGGUGAAAGACGGUAGCUCAACUAUCGCAGUGCCUUUGAUACUGAUAGGCUUGAAUGUACUUGAAGUGGGCGGAAUGUGACAAGUAGCGGUGAAAUGCAUAGAUAUGUCACAGAACACCGAUUGCGAAGGCAGCUCACUAAAGUAUGAUUGACGCUGAGGCACGAAAGCGUGGGGAUCAAACAGGAUUAGAUACCCCCGUAGUCCCUGUCUCUUAUAC
rnacentral:rRNA from 1 species